AUAAGUUCGUACGUUUAAAAGUAUUUGUGUUUAAUGUUAUUAGUUUAAAAUGUUUUUAUAAAUUGCUUUAAAUCGUAUUACUUUGUUUUGAUAUGAUAAUUUAGCUAAUGUAUUUUAGGCCAAAAUAUGUCUCGCCAUUACGUAUUCAAUAAAAAUACAACUGUGCCGACAAUGCAGCACCAAAAUCGACUAGGUAACCAUUAUUACAGAGGAAACGAUACCGAUUUUUUACAGAGGAAACGGUAGCCAUUAUUACAGACGAAAUGGAACCAUGGGAGAAUCAGAAAGAGGUGAGACUGUGAAUUAAUUAUUCAAAGUCCUUGUACAUUGUAAAGGCUUCCGCGCGGUGUUGAUUCUUUGAAAUAUAACUAGUG
rnacentral:sRNA from 1 species